rnacentral:rRNA from 1 species
UACGAAGGGGGCUAGCGUUGCUCGGAAUCACUGGGCGUAAAGGGCGCGUAGGCGGCCAUUCAAGUCGGGGGUGAAAGCCCAGGGCUCAACCCUGGAAUUGCCUUCGAUACUGUUUGGCUAGAGACCGGAAGAGGUAAGUGGAACUGCGAGUGUAGAGGUGAGAUUCGUAGAUAUUCGCAAGAACACCAGUGGCGAAGGCGGCUCACUGGCCCGAUACUGACGCUGAGGCACGAAAGCGUGGGGAGCAAACAGG